UACGUAGGGUGCAAGCGUUGUCCGGAAUUAUUGGGCGUAAAGAGCGCGCAGGCGGUCGACCAAGUCGCGUGUGAAAGCCCCCGGCUCAACUGGGGAGGGUCACGCGAUACUGAUCGACUCGAAGGCAGGAGAGGGUAGUGGAAUUCCCGGUGUAGUGGUGAAAUGCGUAGAUAUCGGGAGGAACACCAGUGGCGAAGGCGACUACCUGGCCUGUUCUUGACGCUGAGGCGCGAAAGCUAGGGGAGCAAACGGG
rnacentral:rRNA from 1 species